UUUUUUUUUUUUUUUUUAGGUGAAAUUUGAGGACUAUGAUGCAGCCGUUGCACCACUGAAUGUAAAUGAGAACCACUGGGCCUUGGUGAUUCUAAAUGCUGCUUCAAAAGAGGUCUCAGUUCUAGACCCUUUUGGUUCAAACGAGGAGGCACUAGCAAAGAAAGCUGGAAAAAGUUUUAGAAAAGAUUGGUGUAAGAUCAGAUGGAGGCCAAUGAAACUUA